AGGACCUGGGUGCUGGUUCCGUCCCUCCCCAGCCCCAGCCCAUGCUCGAUUUCAUCCCACAGAGGGAACCGACCCAGCUGGGCCCCAGCAGCCGGAUCCCCCCAUGACGGAGCCGGAGGGAGAAGGCCCUGGUGUACUCUGGUUCUCUUCCCACAGAGGGAACUGCCCUGAUCCAAACUGGAGCGGCGCCGGCUCCCACCCGCCCGAGCAGCGCAGGGCCAGCAGCAGCCCCCCUGGGACACCUGGAUUUCACCCAUGCCGACAUCGCCCACCUGGCGCUGAGCGCCAUGGUCCUGCUCAUCGUGGGGCUGAGGCCCACUACAGCCGCCCGAGGGUGGUGUCCUAGGAGCCUGGAUCCAGCCGUGCAGAGAAGAGAAUCUCCCCGGAGGAGGAGCUGGUCCCCCUUGGAGGGCUGAAUUCCAGCACAAAACCUCCUGCUCCCAAACACCCCUGCCUCGGUGAAUCCCCCCGCCCCCCAACAGCUCCGGACCUGACAGCAACACCCCAGGAUAGAACCCCGAACCCCGCGAUCACCAGCCCCUGCAGCACCAGUUAGAGGAACUGCCCCUGUGCUGGGCUCAUUGGGCUCCCCGCGGAGCAGCCCCUGGACAGCGCUGGGUCCCACUCACUGGCGCUGCCGGGCCACUCUCUGCCCAGGGCUGUCAGUGGAGAGCGGGGAGCCUGUGUCUUGCGUGGCACUAGAAUAAUGGCACUUAUUGCCCCCCCCCCGGUGUCCAUCCACCUCCUCUCUCUGCAGCGGGGUCCCCCAGCCCCUUUU